rnacentral:pre_miRNA from 1 species
UCCCAUCAGCAGAUGAAACUGCAACAUGAUCUGAUGCUUCCUCACCCAAAAUCUGGAUGAUGAAGAGGCUUAAUGUGAGCAUCAGAUCAUGCUGGCAGCUUCAGCUUCUAAUGGU